CUGAUAGCACUGGAGACUGAAGUCCUCUAUCCACAGGACCGGUAUAGCCAGGCAGGAACACUCGAGCAAAAGCUUCUCCCCACCUAACUCUGAAAGAGCCACUCUAGGGAGAAGAUAGUGAUUGUCUCCAUAUCUAUUAAAUUCUUGGUCCGCC
rnacentral:sRNA from 1 species